UACGGAGGGGGCUAGCGUUGUUCGGAAUUACUGGGCGUAAAGCGCGCGUAGGCGGCUACUCAAGUCAGAGGUGAAAGCCCAGGGCUCAACCCUGGAACUGCCUUUGAAACUAGGUAGCUAGAAUCUUGGAGAGGUCAGUGGAAUUCCGAGUGUAGAGGUGAAAUUCGUAGAUAUUCGGAAGAACACCAGUGGCGAAGGCGACUGACUGGACAAGUAUUGACGCUGAGGUGCGAAAGCGUGGGGAGCAAACAGG
rnacentral:rRNA from 1 species